rnacentral:rRNA from 1 species
CAGUCGCCGCGGUAAUACGAAGGGGGCUAGCGUUGUUCGGAUUUACUGGGCGUAGAGGGUGCGUAGGCGGAUUGUUAAGUCAGGGGUGAAAUGCCGAGGCUCAACCUCGGAACUGCCUUUGAUACUGGCGAUCUUGAGUCCGGGAGAGGUGAGUGGAACUGCGAGUGUAGAGGUGAAAUUCGUAGAUAUUCGCAAGAACACCAGUGGCGAAGGCGGCUCACUGGCCCGGAACUGACGCUGAGGCACGACAGCGUGGGGAGCAAACAGGAUUAGAUACCCGUGUAGUCCCUGUCUCUUAUAC